rnacentral:rRNA from 1 species
GAUGAACGCUAGCUACAGGCUUAACACAUGCAAGUCGAGGGGAAACGCCAUCGAAAGCUUGCUUUUGAUGGGCGUCGACCGGCGCACGGGUGAGUAACGCGUAUCCAACCUGCCCAUCACUUGGGAAUAACCUUGCGAAAGUAAGACUAAUACCCAAUGAUAUCCCACGAAGGCAUAGGAUUGGGAGUAUAGAUUUAUCGGUGAUGGAUGGGGAUGCGUCUGAUUAGCUUGUUGGCGGGGUAACGGCCCACCAAGGCAACGAUCAGUAGGGGUUCUGAGAGGGAGGUCCCCCACAGUGGAACUGAGACACUGUCCAAACGCCUACGGGAGGCAGCAGUGAGGAAGAAUGGGCAAUGGGCGAUAGCCUGAGCCAGCCAAGUAGCGUGCAGGAAGACGGCUGUAUGAGAUGUAAACUGCUUUUAUAAGGGGAUAUAGGGAGGCACGUGUGACUUUUUGCAUGUACCUGAUGAAGAAGGACCGGCUAAUUCCGUG